rnacentral:lncRNA from 1 species
GGUUUCCUGUUUUGAAAUUAAAAACAUGUGAAAUUCAAACCUUCUGUUCAAGUCUGAACAAAGAGUCAUGCCUUUAUGAUCAUUGAUGAUUCUGCACAAGGUACGGUCUCUUAACUAAGCAAAUAAGGAAUCUGUUUUGCUUUGAAAUAGAAACAGAAGUUGGCUUUAUUAAUGUCCUUAGUUUUCUUUCUUAUUGGAGACAUUUGUUUAGCUUCACUCUUGAGCUGCCUCAGUGUGGGCAAAGUCCCAAGUCCAAGUCCCAGAAAUUUACCUGUUAAUUGGAUAACAGGGAAGUCUGGAUCUAGUAAGUCAUGUGAUAAUUUAGUAACAAUGUAGUAAAAAAAUUUAAAACUCAAUGAAAAACACUGUGUUUAUCCAAUGCAGGUGCAAGUUUUGCCUUGGCCAGUUAUGUCUUAGCUGUGACUUUAGAAAUCUUUUGUUUUCCUUAAUGAUUGACUUCAUGAAGAAUAUAAGUAGUAAGUACAAACAUGCAAGAUAAGAAAUGAGAAUAAGAAAAUAUUUACA